AGAGUUUGAUCCUGGCUCAGAUUGAACGCUGGCGGCAGGCCUAACACAUGCAAGUCGAGCGGAAACGGCAGCAUUGAAGCUUCGGUGGAUUUGCUGGACGUCGAGCGGCGGACGGGUGAGUAACGGCUGGGAACCUGCCCUGACGCGGGGGAUAACCGUUGGAAACGACGGCUAAUACCGCAUAAUGUCUUAGUUCAUUACGAGCUGGGACCAAAGGUGGCCUCUAUAUGUAAGCUAUCGCGUUGGGAUGGGCCCAGUUAGGAUUAGCUAGUUGGUAAGGUAAUGGCUUACCAAGGCGACGAUCCUUAGCUGGUUUGAGAGGAUGAUCAGCCACACUGGGACUGAGACACGGCCCAGACUCCUACGGGAGGCAGCAGUGGGGAAUAUUGCACAAUGGGGGAGACCCUGAUGCAGCCAUGCCGCGUGUGUGAAGAAGGCCUUCGGGUUGUAAAGCACUUUCAGCAGUGAGGAAGGUGGUGUACUUAAUACGUGCAUGGCUUGACGUUAGCUGCAGAAGAAGCACCGGCUAACUCCGUGCCAGCAGCCGCGGUAAUACGGAGGGUGCGAGCGUUAAUCGGAAUUACUGGGCGUAAAGCGCAUGCAGGCGGUUUGUUAAGUCAGAUGUGAAAGCCCGGGGCUCAACCUCGGAACCGCAUUUGAAACUGGCAGGCUAGAGUCUUGUAGAGGGGGGUGGAAUUUCAGGUGUAGCGGUGAAAUGCGUAGAGAUCUGAAGGAAUACCAGUGGCGAAAGCGGCCCCCUGGACAAAGACUGACGCUCAGAUGCGAAAGCGUGGGUAGCAAAC
rnacentral:rRNA from 1 species